rfam:Gossypium hirsutum cultivar TM-1 chromosome 2, whole genome shotgun sequence
AAUUCAUGACAUGGACAUUUUUGAAUCAAAUUCUUAAAAUGUUCCCAAGCUUCGUGAAAACUCUCCCUCUAAUUGUUUGAACAUAGCAAUCUCCCUUCUUAUCU